UACGAAAGGGGCUAGCGUUGCUCGGAAUCACUGGGCGUAAAGCGCACGUAGGCGGAUUGCUAAGUCAGGGGUGAAAUCCUGGAGCUCAACUCCAGAACUGCCUUUGAUACUGGCGAUCUUGAGUCCGGGAGAGGUGAGUGGAACUGCGAGUGUAGAGGUGAAAUUCGUAGAUAUUCGCAAGAACACCAGUGGCGAAGGCGGCUCACUGGCCCGGUACUGACGCUGAGGUGCGAAAGCGUGGGGAGCAAACAGG
rnacentral:rRNA from 1 species